rnacentral:rRNA from 1 species
AGAGUUUGAUCCUGGCUCAGGAUGAACGCUGGCGGCGUGCCUAACACAUGCAAGUCGAGCGAGGGUUUGCUCAGUAUUGAGUAUUCUAAGUCUAGAAUGUUCAAUUCUGAGCAAAACCAAGCGGCGGACGGGUGAGUAACGCGUGGGUAACCUGCCCUAUACACAUGGAUAACAUACUGAAAAGUUUACUAAUACAUGAUAAUAUAUAUUUGCGGCAUCGCAGAUAUAUCAAAGUGUUAGCGGUAUAGGAUGGACCCGCGUCUGAUUAGCUAGUUGGUGAGAUAACUGCCCACCAAGGCGACGAUCAGUAGCCGACCUGAGAGGGUGAUCGGCCACAUUGGAACUGAGACACGGUCCAAACUCCUACGGGAGGCAGCAGUGGGGAAUAUUGCACAAUGGGCGCAAGCCUGAUGCAGCGACGCCGCGUGAGGGAUGACGGCCUUCGGGUUGUAAACCUCUGUUAGCAGGGAAGAAGAGAGAUUGACGGUACCUGCAGAGAAAGCGCCGGCUAACUACGUGCCAGCAGCCGCGGUAAUACGUAGGGCGCGAGCGUUGUCCGGAAUUAUUGGGCGUAAAGGGCUUGUAGGCGGUUGGUCGCGUCUGCCGUGAAAUCCUCUGGCUUAACUGGGGGCGUGCGGUGGGUACGGGCUGACUUGAGUGCGGUAGGGGAGACUGGAACUCCUGGUGUAGCGGUGGAAUGCGCAGAUAUCAGGAAGAACACCGGUGGCGAAGGCGGGUCUCUGGGCCGUUACUGACGCUGAGGAGCGAAAGCGUGGGGAGCGAACAGGAUUAGAUACCCUGGUAGUCCACGCUGUAAACGUUGGGCACUAGGUGUGGGGGCCACCCGUGGUUUCUGCGCCGUAGCUAACGCUUUAAGUGCCCCGCCUGGGGAGUACGGCCGCAAGGCUAAAACUCAAAGGAAUUGACGGGGGCCCGCACAAGCGGCGGAGCAUGCGGAUUAAUUCGAUGCAACGCGAAGAACCUUACCAAGGCUUGACAUGCACGGCGGCACUGCAGAGAUGUGGUGGCAUUUAGUUGGUCGUGUGCAGGUGGUGCAUGGUUGUCGUCAGCUCGUGUCGUGAGAUGUUGGGUUAAGUCCC